rnacentral:misc_RNA from 1 species
UGGCUCUCGCAUCGAUGAAGAACGCAGCGAAAUGCGAUAAGUAAUGUGAAUUGCAGAAUUCAGUGAAUCAUCGAAUCUUUGAACGCACCUUGCGCCCUUUGGUAAUCCGAGGGGCAUGCCUGUUUGAGUGUCUUGAAGCCCUCAAGCCCAAGGUCCGCCUUGAGGCUUGGAUUUGGACCUCUGCCGGUCGCGUCGAGCGUCGGCUGGCCCGAAAUACAUUAGCUGACUACUGUGGUCGGCGGCCUGGUGUGAUAAAAUCACCCGCUGGGUCGUCACCUCUGUUGGUGGUUGCUUCUAGCCGUCUCGAGAGAGACAAUUCUUAAGCGUUUGACCUCAAAUCAGGUAGGACUACCCGCUGA